rnacentral:lncRNA from 1 species
GGUUCUCACCUAAAUCCAUCAUCAACACAAGAAUUCUGCAUAAAUUGGGGUGAUUUGAGCUGGAAAUCGAGUGCAUGAGACAUCAUCUACACUUGUCUAAGAACGUGUCAAGGAGAGCUCAAGCAUAGGAGGAUAACGGGUCAAGAUAAGGCAAGGUGACAAAUACACUUAUUGGAGUGCUCAAGGUAUACUAUUAAUGUCCUUAUGAAGGUUUAAGGAAUUGGAAUGCAAGAUCGUACACUGAAUGAGGAUUUGAAAAGAUUAGCAUGAGAUGAAGGAAUACGGAGUGGUUAUUUAUUUACGUAUGUUUAGUUUAUGAACGACGUCACCAAAUUUUAACGAUGCGUGUGUAUGUGGUGAUUGCAGGUCGCACGGACUUAACAUCAUUAUGAAGUAAAUAAGGAUUGAAGAUCGAGUCAAAGAGCGAGGUUGGUACGGGAAGGGUAGUCACAUAACUGGUGAUUUUAUAUUACAUUUGAUGCGAUAAUUAAGAAUGAACGUUGUAAAUCUUUUGAAGAAAGUGUUUGUUAUUUUUAAACGAACCUUCAAGUAAGUCAUAUGAGUAAUUAU